rnacentral:rRNA from 1 species
UACGGAGGGUGCGAGCGUUGUCCGGAAUCACUGGGCGUAAAGGGCGCGUAGGCGGUCUGCUAAGCGUGCGGUGAAAGCCUGGGGCUCAACCCCAGGUCUGCCGUGCGAACUGGUGGACUAGAGCACUGUAGAGGCAGGUUGGAAUUCGGGUGUAGCGGUGGAAUGCGUAGAGAUCCGAAAGAACACCGGUGGCGAAGGCGGCCUGCUGGGCAGUUGCUGA